GUUUUUCAGUCAAGGGCCUCUGUCCUCUAUACGAGCUGCAAUCAAACGAACAAGAACAAACUCUCAGAGCGAGCAGGCCAGAGACAGAAGGCGACCAGAGAUCACCAUCGUCUCAGCUGAGCCUCUGAUCAGUAACAACUGGUUCCCAGGAUCCUCUGGGGUUUUCCCUCCUCCUCCUCAGUCAGGCUGGUCUGCAGGCGUCCAGACUGUC